GAACCGGGAGUCAGGUUGGUUGAGACACUGCCCUUUCAAGGCAGGAAUUGCGGGUUCGAGUCCCGUCCGGUUCGCCA
rnacentral:tRNA from 1 species